UACGGAGGGUGCGAGCGUUGUCCGGAAUCACUGGGCGUAAAGGGCGCGUAGGUGGCCCGUUAAGUGGCUGGUGAAAUCCCGCGGCUCAACUGCGGGGCUGCCGGUCAUACUGGCGAGCUAGAGCACGGUAGGGGCAGAUGGAAUUCCCGGUGUAGCGGUGGAAUGCGUAGAGAUCGGGAAGAAUACCAGUGGCGAAGGCGUUCUGCUGGGCCGUUGCUGACACUGAGGCGCGACAGCGUGGGGAGCGAACAGG
rnacentral:rRNA from 1 species